UACGGAGGGUGCGAGCGUUAAUCGGAAUAACUGGGCGUAAAGAGUGCGUAGGUGGUUUGAUAAGUUAUCUGUAAAAGCCCCGGGCUUAACCUGGGAAGGCCAGAUAAUACUGUUGGACUCGAGUAUGGGAGAGGGUAGUGGAAUUUCCGGUGUAGCGGUGAAAUGCGUAGAGAUCGGAAGGAACACCAGUGGCGAAGGCGGCUACCUGGCCUAAUACUGACACUGAGGCACGAAAGCGUGGGGAGCAAACAGG
rnacentral:rRNA from 1 species